rnacentral:hammerhead_ribozyme from 1 species
AUCCAGCUGAUGAGUCCCAGACAGGACGAAACGCGUGUCCUAGAC